UACGUAGGUGGCGAGCGUUAUCCGGAAUGAUUGGGCGUAAAGGGUGCGUAGACGGGAAUUUAAGUUAGUUGUGAAAUCCCUCGGCUUAACUGAGGAACUGCAACUAAAACUGAAUUUCUUGAGUGCGGGAGAGGAAAGUGGAAUUCCUAGUGUAGCGGUAAAAUGCGUAGAUAUAUGGAAGAACACCAGUGGCGAAGGCGGCCGCCUGGCCUGUUGCUGACGCUGAGGCACGAAAGCGUGGGGAGCAAAUAGG
rnacentral:rRNA from 1 species